ACGUAGGGGGCAGGCGUUGUCCGGAAUCACUGGGCGUAAAGAGCACGUAGGCGGUCUAUUAAGUUAGGUGUGAAAGUUUGCAGCUUAACUGUAAAAGUGCACUUAAAACUGGUAGACUUGAGUAUCGGAGAGGUAAGCGGAAUUCCUAGUGUAGCGGUGAAAUGCGUAGAGAUUAGGAAGAACACCGGUGGCGAAGGCGGCUUACUGGACGAUCACUGACGCUCAGGUGCGAAAGCGUGGGGAGCAAACAG
rnacentral:rRNA from 1 species